rnacentral:rRNA from 1 species
CAGGCUUAACACAUGCAAGUCGAGGGGCAGCACAGGUAGCAAUACCGGGUGGCGACCGGCGCACGGGUGAGUAACGCGUAUGCAACUUGCCUAUCAGAGGGGGAUAACCCGGCGAAAGUCGGACUAAUACCGCAUGAAGCAGGGGCCCCGCAUGGGGAUAUUUGCUAAAGAUUCAUCGCUGAUAGAUAGGCAUGCGUUCCAUUAGGCAGUUGGCGGGGUAACGGCCCACCAAACCGACGAUGGAUAGGGGUUCUGAGAGGAAGGUCCCCCACAUUGGUACUGAGACACGGACCAAACUCCUACGGGAGGCAGCAGUGAGGAAUAUUGGUCAAUGGCCGAGAGGCUGAACCAGCCAAGUCGCGUGAGGGAUGAAGGUUCUAUGGAUCGUAAACCUCUUUUAUAAGGGAAUAAAGUGCGGGACGUGUCCCGUUUUGUAUGUACCUUAUGAAUAAGGAUCGGCUAACUCCGUGCCAGCAGCCGCGGUAAUACGGAGGAUCCGAGCGUUAUCCGGAUUUAUUGGGUUUAAAGGGUGCGUAGGCGGCCUUUUAAGUCAGCGGUGAAAGUCUGUGGCUCAACCAUAGAAUUGCCGUUGAAACUGGGGGGCUUGAGUAUGUUUGAGGCAGGCGGAAUGCGUGGUGUAGCGGUGAAAUGCAUAGAUAUCACGCAGAACCCCGAUUGCGAAGGCAGCCUGCCAAGCCAUUACUGACGCUGAUGCACGAAAGCGUGGGGAUCAAACAGGAUUAGAUACCCUGGUAGUCCACGCAGUAAACGAUGAUCACUAGCUGUUUGCGAUACACUGUAAGCGGCACAGCGAAAGCGUUAAGUGAUCCACCUGGGGGGUACGCCGGCAACGGUGAAACUCAAAGGAAUUGACGGGGGCCCGCACAAGCGGAGGAACAUGUGGUUUAAUUCGAUGAUACGCGAGGAACCUUACCCGGGUUUGAACGCAUUCGGACCGAGGUGGAAACACCUUUUCUAGCAAUAGCCGUUUGCGAGGUGCUGCAUGGUUGUCGUCAGCUCGUGCCGUGAGGUGUCGGCUUAAGUGCCAUAACGAGCGCAACCCUUGCCACUAGUUACUAACAGGUAAAGCUGAGGACUCUGGUGGGACUGCCAGCGUAAGCUGCGAGGAAGGCGGGGAUGACGUCAAAUCAGCACGGCCCUUACAUCCGGGGCGACACACGUGUUACAAUGGCGUGGACAAAGGGAAGCCACCUGGCGACAGGGAGCGAAUCCCCAAACCACGUCUCAGUUCGGAUCGGAGUCUGCAACCCGACUCCGUGAAGCUGGAUUCGCUAGUAAUCGCGCAUCAGCCAUGGCGCGGUGAAUACGUUCCCGGGCCUUGUACACACCGCCCGUCAAGCCAUGGGAGCCGGGGGUACCUGAAGUCCGUAACCGCGAGGAUCGGCCUAGGGUAAAACUGGUGACUGGGGCUAAGUAGU